UAGGGCCCAUCACUUCAUGUGUAGUGGCUUUACAGGCCGCCUUGGUAACAGCCGAGCCGGUGACACUGUGCUGGGCCGCGGUGAUCCGGUCCGUGAUCGACUGACCCGACAUGUUCCGAUACUAACGAGCCUUCCUCAGAAAACUCGAAGCGGCGUGAUUAACCGACAGAACAGGUGCGAUUUUCACACAUGUCUGGUUUCAGAGUAUUUGACGGGACUCCCGGUGAUAAUUUCCGAGGGUUUGAGAUUCCUCCUCCUCCCCCCUCCCACCGCCCGCCCGGCUUUUCUUCCGCUUCUCGGGCGGGGACUGAGCGCCAAAAUGGCGACCGCGGCGCUGGGAGCUGCUUUGUCAGGUGAUGGAAACGACAGCCAGGGAUUAAGGUGGAACUGCAGCAACUACUCAAAAUAACUCCCUCUCUCAGCAUACCAUGCACUUCCCUCAACGGAGAAGAAUGUGUCCUCACUUCUGAUCACCCUUCCAAUGCUGUUAUGAAACAAGCAUUUUUAAGAAUGAGAUGACAUAACUGUUCUUCCGAUUUUCUUGUGAUCUCUUCCUAAAGCUAGUGGGUCUAAGAUUGGAAACUCAACCAAUGGUCGGAUUGUGCCAUACCAAUAAGAAAGAAAAUGCUCGUAUUUAUAUUGUACUUUAGUACAUCCCAAAACACCUUACAGCCAAUUAAAUACUUUUUGAGGCGUAGUCUCUUGAAUUUUUGCGGCAGCCAGUUUGGGCUCAUCAGUGUCCCAAAAACAGCAACAAAAUAAUGACCAGACAAUUUAUUUUAGUGGUGAUAGUUGUGGGAUAAAUAUUGCUUUGGAUUACACUUUUGGAGUGUAGUAAUUGUUAGUUAGCUGCUCGAAAAGUAGAAUUUUAGAUUUCUGGGAACAGGUUCCUAUUAGCUCUCAGCACUGAGGAAUGGCGUGAGAGAAGGUUAAACCUAAAAAGAUGAAAGAAAACUCCUUUGGUUGUCCUUAAAUAGUGUCAUAGAAUCUUUUAUAUCCACCUCAGAGAGCAGGUGGGGCCUUGCUUUAACAUCUCAUCUGAAAGACAGCACUUCUCAUUCAGAUGAGAGUGCUGCCACUGAGCCAUGGCUGAUAUCUAUUCUCUCAACAUGUGCUUUCCAAAAGGUUUCAACAUAGCACACUAU